UACGAAGGGUGCUAGCGUUGUUCGGAAUCACUGGGCGUAAAGCGCACGUAGGCGGACUUGUUAGUCAGGGGUGAAAUCCCGGGGCUCAACCCCGGAACUGCCUUUGAUACUGCAAGUCUUGAGUCCGAGAGAGGUGAGUGGAAUUCCUAGUGUAGAGGUGAAAUUCGUAGAUAUUAGGAAGAACACCAGUGGCGAAGGCGGCUCACUGGCUCGGUACUGACGCUGAGGUGCGAAAGCGUGGGGAGCAAACAGG
rnacentral:rRNA from 1 species